rnacentral:rRNA from 1 species
AGUGGCGGACGGGUGAGUAACGCGUGGGUAACCUACCCCAUACAGGGGGAUAACAGUUAGAAAUGACUGCUAAUACCGCAUAAGACCACAGCACCGCAUGGUGCAGGGGCAAAAACUCCGGUGGUAUGAGAUGGACCCGCGUCUGAUUAGGUAGUUGGUGGGGUAACGGCCUACCAAGCCGACGAUCAGUAGCCGACCUGAGAGGGUGACCGGCCACAUUGGGACUGAGACACGGCCCAA